rnacentral:rRNA from 1 species
AAACUUUCAACAAUGGAUCUCUUGGUUCUCGCAUCGAUGAAGAACGCAGCGAAAUGCGAUAAGUAAUAUGAAUUGCAGAAUUCCGUGAAUCAUCAAAUUUGAACGCAAAU